CCUACGGGAGGCAGCAGUGGGGAAUUUUGGACAAUGGGCGAAAGCCUGAUCCAGCAAUGCCGCGUGAGUGAAGAAGGCCUUCGGGUUGUAAAGCUCUUUUGUCAGGGAAGAAACGGUGAGAGCUAAUAUCUCUUGCUAAUGACGGUACCUGAAGAAUAAGCACCGGCUAACUACGUGCCAGCAGCCGCGGUAAUACGUAGGGUGCAAGCGUUAAUCGGAAUUACUGGGCGUAAAGCGUGCGCAGGCGGUUUUGUAAGUCUGAUGUGAAAUCCCCGGGCUCAACCUGGGAAUUGCAUUGGAGACUGCAAGGCUAGAAUCUGGCAGAGGGGGGUAGAAUUCCACGUGUAGCAGUGAAAUGCGUAGAUAUGUGGAGGAACACCGAUGGCGAAGGCAGCCCCCUGGGUCAAGAUUGACGCUCAUGCACGAAAGCGUGGGGAGCAAACAGGAUUAGAUACCCUGGUAGUCCACGCCCUAAACGAUGUCUACUAGUUGUCGGGUCUUAAUUGACUUGGUAACGCAGCUAACGCGUGAAGUAGACCGCCUGGGGUAGUUAGGUUCGCGAGAGUAACUUACGAGAGUGAGGNGNGAGAGNGCGAGGACGACGACGAGGAGGAGG
rnacentral:rRNA from 1 species